rnacentral:rRNA from 1 species
CUACGUGCCAGCAGCCGCGGUAAUACGGAAGGUCCAGGCGUUAUCCGGAUUUAUUGGGUUUAAAGGGAGUGUAGGCGGUUUGUUAAGCGUGUUGUGAAAUGUAGACGCUCAACGUCUGAAUUGCAGCGCGAACUGGUUCACUUGAAUAUGCACAACGUAGGCGGAAUUCGUCGUGUAGCGGUGAAAUGCUUAGAUAUGACGAAGAACUCCGAUUGCGAAGGCAGCUUACGGGAGCACAACUGACGCUGAAGCUCGAAGGUGCGGGUAUCAAACAGGAUUAGAUACCCUGGUAGUCCGCACAGUAAACGAUGGAUGCCCGCUGUUGGUACCUGGUAUCAGCGGCUAAGCGAAAGCAUUAAGCAUCCCACCUGGGGAGUACGCCGGCAACGGUGAAACUCAAAGGAAUUGACGGGGGCCCGCACAAGCGGAGGAACAUGUGGUUUAAUUCGAUGAUACGCGAGGAACCUUACCCGGGCUUGAAUUGCAGAGGAAGGAUUUAGAGAUA